UACGGAGGGGACUAGCGUUAUCCGGAAUCAUUGGGUUUAAAGGGUCCGUAGGCGGGACAGUAAGUCGGUGGUGAAAGUCUGCAGCUUAACUGUAGAACUGCCAUUGAUGCUGCACACCUUGAGUAAUUAUGAAGUGGUUAGAAUAUGUAGUGUAGCGGUGAAAUGCAUAGAUAUUACAUAGAAUACCGAUUGCGAAGGCAGAUCACUAAUAAUUCACUGACGCUGAGGGACGAAAGCGUAGGUAGCGAACAGG
rnacentral:misc_RNA from 1 species